GACGAACGCUGGCGGCGUGCUUAACACAUGCCAGUCGAACGGAAAGGCCCUGCUUUUGUGGUGUGCUCGAGUGGCGAACGGGUGAGUAACACGUGAGUAACCUGCCCUUGACUUUGGGAUAACCUCAGGAAACUGGGGCUAAUACCGGAUAGGAGCUCCUGCUGCAUGGUGGGGGUCGGAAAGUUUCGGCGGUUGGGGAUGGACUCGCGGCUUAUCAGCUUGUUGGUGGGGUAGUGGCUUACCAAGGCUUCGACGGGUAGCCGGCCUGAGAGGGUGACCGGCCACACUGGGACUGAGAUACGGCCCAGACUCCUACGGGAGGCAGCAGUGGGGAAUAUUGCACAAUGGGCGGAAGCCUGAUGCAGCGACGCCGCGUGCGGGAUGACGGCCUUCGGGUUGUAAACCGCUUUCGCCUGGGACGAAGCGUGAGUGACGGUACUGGGUAAAGAAGCACCGGCUAACUACGUG
rnacentral:rRNA from 1 species